CGCGUCCUACGGGAGGCAGCAGUCGAGAAUCAUUCACAAUGGGGGAAACCCUGAUGGUGCGACGCCGCGUGGGGGAAUGAAGGUCUUCGGAUUGUAAACCCCUGUCAUGUGGGAGCAAAUUAAAAAGAUAGUACCACAAGAGGAAGAGACGGCUAACUCUGUGCCAGCAGCCGCGGUAAUACAGAGGUCUCAAGCGUUGUUCGGACUCACUGGGCGUAAAGCGUGCGUAGGCUGUUUCGUAGGUCGUGUGUGAAAGGCGCGGG
rnacentral:rRNA from 1 species